rnacentral:rRNA from 1 species
UACGGAGGGAGCUAGCGUUGUUCGGAAUUACUGGGCGUAAAGCGCACGUAGGCGGCUAUUCAAGUCGGGGGUGAAAGCCCGGGGCUCAACCCCGGAACUGCCCUCGAAACUAGAUAGCUAGAAUCUUGGAGAGGCGAGUGGAAUUCCGAGUGUAGAGGUGAAAUUCGUAGAUAUUCGGAAGAACACCAGUGGCGAAGGCGGCAUCCUGGACCGGUAUUGACGCUGAGGCGCGAAAGCUAGGGGAGCAAACGGG